GAUGAACGUUGGCGGCGUGGAUUAGGCAUGCAAGUCGCGCGAGAACUGUAGCAAUACAGGGAAAGCGGCGUAAGGGACAGUAAUACCUAGAAACGUACCCCCGGGUCUGGGAUGGCGGCGGGAAACUGCCGGUAAUACCAGAUAACGUCUCCGGACCAAAGGUGUGAUUCCACCUGGGGAGCGGUCUAGGCCCUAUUAGCUUGUUGGUGGGGUAACGGCCUACCAAGGCAAAGAUGGGUAGCAGGUGUGAGAGCACGACCUGCGUCACUGGGACUGAGACACUGCCCAGACACCUACGGGUGGCUGCAGUCGAGAAUCUUCGGCAAUGGGCGCAAGCCUGACCGAGCGACGCCGCGUGCGGGAUGAAGGCCUUCGGGUUGUAAACCGCUGUCGAAGGGGAUGAAAUUCCGGUGGGUUCUCUUGCCGGAUUGACAGAUCCUUGGAGGAAGGACGGGCUAAGUUCGUGCCAGCCGCCGCAGUAA
rnacentral:rRNA from 1 species